CACGUAGGGGGCGAGCGUUGUCCGGAUUUAUUGGGCGUAAAGAGCUCGUAGGCGGCUCAGUAAGUCAGGUGUGAAAACUCCAGGCUCAACCUGGAGACGCCACCUGAUACUGCUGUGGCUAGAGUCCGGUAGGGGAGCAUGGAAUUCCUGGUGGUAGCGGUGAAAUGCGCAGAUAUCAGGAGGAACACCAGUGGCGGAAGGCGGUGCUCUGGGCCGGAACUGACGCUGAGGAGCGAAAGCGUGGGGAGCAAACAGG
rnacentral:rRNA from 1 species